ACUUCCUUCUUGGAUUUCAUCUGAGCUGGAAGUAGGUUUUGUCUCUCUGCCUACAUUUCCAUUAAUCUGAAGGAGGGGUUUUGCUCUAAGAGAUUCUCCCUGGAUAGCUAGGAUUUGGUGGAGAAAUCUUUGGCAUCUAGGUAGAGGAUUUAUUUGGAGAAAACCUAUUGGUCCCUGAGUCCAAAGAUCAUCUGCCAGUGGUCCAGCUGCCAGAAUUCCUCUUGGACUAAGGCCUACCUAUUCCCUGAAACACAACAAUACUGAAGUCUGAAGAUCACCUGGCAAAACAAGGUACUGGACACUGAGGUCCUUUCUUGAGCUGAAUUGCCAAGUAUUCAAAUUCUACUGCAGAGAAUACAACUCUGAUAACUAGCCACAUUGUUCAAAUGCCAAAUGUACAUUUGCCUAAAAACCAGGGAGAACUCAACAAGGCAAGUACUCACACAGAGGUUAAAAGAAGCGAUGCAAGGACACUCUAAAAGUCUCUCUGAAGAACUUUAGUAUUGAUUAUGAGACUUGGGAGACACUGGCACAGGACUAUCCAGCAUGGCAUAGCCACCUCAAUGAAGGCACUUUGCCUUAUGAAUGAAGCAGAAUUGCAGAGCUCAAGGAAAUGGGAAAUGUGCAAAUUUAGCAAUAUCUCUACUUCAAACAUGUGCCAUACCUGUGGAAGAGCCUUCCACACCUGUAUUGGACUGAUCAGCUAGAGUCUGACAUUGACCCCCAUAUGACAACAACCAAACUCAAGGAGAACUGUGAGACUUCAGGCUUCUUUCCGUUACUCAAAAACCCAGAUCCACUCUUAAUUCUUUGGUUUGGAGUAGGUACUUAGCUGUCAUUCUAAACUUCUCUAAAAAUAGUUGAAGUUUUCUCAUUUCCAUUUUAGAGACACAAGACAAAAAGCCCAAUAGUCAAAUUAUUCCCAGUCUGUGACAUAGAAUUAUUCAACCUAAAAGAGGUAUGAAUGAUUUGACAAAUACCUAGGACUAGAAGAUGUUCUCAACUAUCUCUAAGAGAUCCCAGUUUGUAUGUCUACAUACUGUGAGGAGUGAAUCAGACUUUCUUUGUCUAGCAUCAGCAACUUUUAAAUUGAUCAACCAAAACUGAAAACACUCCUACUUAACACUUUGUAAGCCAUCAAGUAAGUCACUUACUUGGAGAAAUAAGAGAAUUCAUAUAUCACUUACUUGGAGAACUCCACCCUUUUAACCCAAUCAAUCAGAAACUUGUGAAUCCCAUGAUAAAAAGUUGACACCUUCAGAGGAUAAGAAGUAGAUCCCACAGACACUUCUCCCCUACCCCCACCCCCACUCCCACCUUGGGCAGAGAAUUUGGAAGCUGUGAUUGGCCCCUGUGAAGAGUGGAAGAGACAAGAAAGAACUAUAAAAGUCCCAAACUUCUUUGGCUGAAGGUUGGUGGUGGCAGCAUCAUCGGUAGUCAUCUUUGACUGGUGACCUGCCUCUUGGAGUAUUGUGUGGCAUUUAAAAGACUCAUAAACUGUAGCAUUUAAAAGAGUGGAUGCCUUAAACUGUAAGAGUUAAAAUAGGUUGAGGUUGUAAACUAUAGUGAUUAAAAUAGUGGAAGAUAUAAAUUGUGAUAGAUAUAAGAGUGGGUGAGUAAAUUUGUGACCACUGAAAAUGUUUUCACUACAGUGUCUUGUUUUUAAAUCAAUAUAUAAGGUGGUCGCCAGGGAAAUAUUCCCAAUUAUGAAUAUACCCAAGUCAACUGAGUUUUAUAGAGAACUUAAUUAAUAAUACAAUGAGGAAUCAAAGAAAGAGAGAGAGAGAGAGAGAGAGAGAGAGAGAGAGAGAGAGAGAGAGAGAGAGAGAGAGAGAGAGAAGGAAAUAAAUGAGAAAAGAAUAGGCCAGCCCAGGCAGCCCUGGCCAACCCAGGCCUAAGCCCUAAAAGAAAAGAUCAGUCAGUCCUUAUAUCUAAAUCACUCACCACAAGAUCUGUCCAAGCAAGGAUUCAGGGGGACAGAGUCUCCCCAGAGGGAGUUCCAGCCAGAGUCAGCCUCCCUUGAGAGACCUCCUUAGAGAUUCUCUCUCAAGAGCCUGUAUAUCUCAGGAGAUUUCUUCAAUAGUCUGUCCUUUUUCUUAUAUAGUGGGCUUUCUCCUAUGUUACCUCCCCUAAGUUCUUCCAUCUACCAAUCACAGUAGACAUUUUCCAAAGGACAGCCCAUUCUGAAUUCACACCCGAGUAAAUUAAUCCUUUUAGUAAUCCACACCUGAGUAGGUUAGAAUCUCUGUGUAAGUUUUUUCCUCUUUGCUCCUUUUAAGUUCACAAGUUGCCUGACCUUUAUAGGUACUUAGCACCCCUUUGUAAUUAAUUCUAAAAAUAGGCAUGGCUUAAGUAUGGGUGUAAGUAUUUUUCAUUGUUCAGCAAGGAGUUUUCUCCCCUAAAGCAGUCUUAAGUACGGGUGGAGUAGAGGUCUUCACAUUUCUGAUCUAAGUAGAGUUCUCAUUGUCCAAAUGGGGAGUGGUCCCAAUAGGGAAUUGUCCCAAUGGAGAAUUCCCCAAUGGGGAAUUUUUUAACAUUCACAAGUCUGAGAAAUUUCAAGAUUCACAAUUGGGACUUGGGACGUGGACUGCCUCUUGGGUGAGUGAGUAGCUGGCCUUCCUUUCAUGGUGUCUGGAGAGAAAGUAGUUUUGGAGAGGCCUUCCCUUUUUGGAGGAGGCCUUGUGGGAAGAAUUCCAGGUCCUCCAGGUCAAGGAUUAACAAACCCUGCGAAAGUUAACAAGAGCACCAGAGCAAUGUGUAAUAGGGUAGACAUCUUCUCUACCCUUUUUUUGUAUUUCUCUACUUUCACUCUUUCUACCCCUUUGUAAAUAAAAACUAUUAAAAGUCAUUUUGACUUGAGCUAUAAUAUUUUUAAAUUGGUGACAAUAAUAUUAAUUUAGAAUUCUCAUAUAUUUUCACCAAACUCCUAAAUUUAAUUCUUUACAAUACAUACAUACCUCCAUAGGGAGAUAUACUUAAAAACUCAAAUGAAGGAUCAUCUUUCUCUAAAUCCACCAAAACUGACUAGACCAGUGAUGGUGAACCUUUUGGAGAUGGAGUGCUGGGCCCUACCCCUACCCCAUCCCCCUGACUGAGUGCCAUGACCACCCUCCCAGAGACCAAAGACCAUGCCCUUCCCCGCCCCACUGAGGGUCAGACAUUCCCUGCUCCCAUUGGGUUUUGGGGAGGAGUGGGUGAAGUAAGGAAUGUCCUCAGGUAGUGUUGAGAGGAUGAAGGGAGUGGCCGCAGCAUUCUGUUCCCCUCCAGUUCUGCCACCUGCGAGCCACCCAUCUUAUUCCCUAUGUGCUCCCAUUGAACUACUGGGCAGAGGGGUGGGUGAUGUAAAAAAAUGUUAUCAGUGGGGUGGAGAGGGGAAGGGGAGCAGCUCUGCCCAAACCCCUCUGUCUUUCUAGUAACCAUCUCUGAAGGGUGUCCCCAUGGAGAGUGAGUGUUCUGUGUGACAUAGGUUAGCCAUCACCAGACUAAACUUUGGCAAUAAAUAGAUCUGUAGGUAUAUAUUACAUCUUUAAUUGAAUUGAAAGAAUCUAAAUAUAUUUUAUAGUAAAUAUGAUUUAUUAAUAUUAUGUACUAAUUAUGCAUAAAUAAUUUUCAGUGUAUACCUAUAUAACACCAUUUCUGACCUGUAUGCCUUUAGAGUGACUACUACUUUGGGGCUCUAGGACUGAUCUUUAAUGAUACUGCCCCUUCCCCCCAGCAAUAUGCCUUCCAUCCUCCCAGUGGAUCCCGGUACAUCCAAUUAAUUCAUAGCAAAAACAGUUAUUAAAAUGCCAUAGUAACUGUAAUAGUUACAAAAAAUUCCUCCAUAAAAAACUCCAUAAACCUGAGGUGCACUCUGUCACAAUUGCACCUCGCAACUGUGAGAAAGCUAAGCACAAAUUUAGAGAACAAAAACAAUGUUCCCCUAUGGGGAACAUAUGUAGCCAAUACUAUUGACUACCCCAGUACUGUGAAAACUGGAGGUCUAUUACCUCCUACUAAAGCCUCACAAAGCUUCCCAUUAUAUAUGAUAUCUGUGAUAGAAAUAUGAGACAGAGAAUAUUUUUGCAGGACUUAUGGACCAAGAUGUUCUAGCUCUAAAAUGUAAAACCCAGGAUUCCAUCGGAAUGUCCCCGGGUUGGUGGCAGUUGGAGCUGAGUUGGGGGUUUUGCUGGCCACACUCUGAGAGGAAAAACUUGGUUUUUGAACUUGGUCUCUUGUCUCUCUCUGCCUCUGGGCAGUUGGAGCUGAGGUAGGGGCUUUUGUGUCUCUGUGUGAGGGACUGAAGUUACUUUUUCCCUGGAGGCUUUGGCUGGACACUCUGAGAGGAGAAAAUUGGCUUUUGGACUUUGUCUCUCUGGGUCUGAGGAGGUGGAGUUGACCAGGGGACUUUUGGUGUCUCUGUGUCUGGGACUGGAAGUCAUAACUUUUCCCUGGAGGCUUUUGGAUGGCCAUACUAAGAAGAGAAACUGGGCUUUUGAACUUAGUCUCUGGCUCUCUGGCUCUCUGGCUCUGAACAAUUGGAAUUGACCAGAGGGGCUUUUUUGUCUCUGGGUCUCUGACUGGGGGACACACACUUGCUCUCUGGAGUUUGAAGUUGGCUGAGAGACAUUUGUGAAGCUGACUUGGUUACUUGAAGUUCUCUGACUUUGGACACUUGAAAUUGACAAGAAGGAGAAACUUAACUGAAGAAGAAGAAAGAAGAUCUUGAAAAGCCAUUGUCUUCCAUCUCCCUGUCUAAUAGUCACAGUUUGGGACUGGACUAUUUUCUCAAUUUUACCUCAGUUAGACUAGGGACUUCCUCAUCCCCUUUAUCUCAGUUUCCCAUCCUGUUAUCUCAAUAAACCCCUUACCUGAGAAAGAAACUUGGAAUAUUUUAUAAUUCACUCAGGGGGGAGGGAAAAUCAGGAGGAGAAGGGUAACAGGAGGAAGAGGGUUGGAAGAGGGAUUGAGGGAGGAAGGAGAUUAGGAAAUAGAUUAGCCAUUGUUAGGGAUCAAUAGGCAGAUACCCCCAGAGCAGUCCCUUGUGUACGAGUAUCCCUGUGUGUGCAUGUGGUGGCAUCCUCCAGCAGCAUUUCUCUGUCCUCCAUUACCAAUAAGCAGUCACAAGUUCCCUCAGCAGUUUUAGGCCCCUGUAACAGCCUCUCUAGCCACAGUCAUUGUUAAAGAAACAGGUUUCCCCUCAGUUUAUCCUCUCCAUUUCAAUAAGUAAAAGUUUCCUUUCAGUUUAAUCUUUAUUACAUAUCUUUGCUUAGCAAGUGACUUAGAUGGGUCCUUGGGAUCUACUCUUCACAGCUUGACUCUGGAUUGCCAGAGCUAUCUUCUUUUUUUUUUUUUUAGUCCAUAGAUGACUCCCUUCUCUGUUGCCAGAAGUCAAACUCUCAGAUGCUUUCUCCUGUAAGUGAUUGUCUCUUUGCUGAUGUUUCUGUGGGAGUAUGUAUCUGCUCCCUGGUGGAUAUUUCCUACUCUCUGAGUUUUUAUUUUAAAAUGAAAUUUAUAUUGGGGGUUGUAAACCUCAAAUUUCCUUAGACUUAUAAUUGUUGAAAAUUUCACCAUUGGGAUAUUUCAUACUUGGAAAAUUUCUUACUGAUAGUCUAUUGGAAUGGGAACUCCAUUGGCAUGGGAGGUUCUUUCUCUUCCCUUCUUAAGAUUACUUUAGGACAGAGACCCUUUGCUGAACAAUGGAAAGGACUUUGACCUAUGCUUAAGCAUAGAACAGGAAUUUCUUUGAGUCUGGAUUGAUUUUAGAAUUGAUACAAUGGAGAUACUUGGAAUAAAUCUCCACCCUAUUCAGUCCUAAUAGGAUUGAGUAAGGGCUGCAGCCUAGAUCAAAAUUUAAUUAUUCCAAUCUCUACCAUACUCAAGUUAACAGGAUUUAGAAAGGGCUGUAACAAAGGAGUAAAGAUUUAAUCAUUUGAAAAAUAUGACCUUCAACAGACAUGUGCAAAAGCCAGAAACCUCUGGGCGGUCCUGGGUUAAGCGAGAGCCUCCAUUGACAGGGAAAUUGAUGAAGAGUGAUUGGUAGAUGUGAGGACUGAGGGGAGGCAACUUGGAUGGUGUCCUUAAAGAUAGGAGGGUCUGGAGACUGGAGAGGUUUUUGAGUUUUUGGUUGGUGUGGUUCCUGGGGUCUGAGGAAGCUUGCUCUGAAGGAAGCUGAAGGUGGGGGCCUCUGAGACUGUUUCUCCAUUUUGGACACGUGAGUAAUAGGGACUGAUCUCUUUUCUUUGCCCCAGCUAUCUAAGGGCUUGGGCCUUUUGGCCCAGCCUAAACAGAAGGGGUAUUUAAGCCCUAUUCCCUUCUCUCCCCUUUCUCUCUCUCUAUAUAUAUCUCUAAUUCCUUUCUUGCUCCUAUUGUAAUUAAAAUCCAAAAAAGGCUGACGGCUGACUUGAGUUUUUCAUUUAGGAAUUACAUAGCUGAUUCCUUGGCGACCUUAAAUUAAUAUAUAUAUAUAUAUAUCAGUCUUUUAAAGUGAUUCCCUUGUAACAGGGUAGAUGGUGUGUCAGGGAAAGAAAUCCUCUCUUUACCCUACCAAGAGUGAUUCUUCCUCAGAGACUGGGUUCAGGUUUUCUUCUCCACUUCUGGCUCCAAAUUGGACUUACUGAUCCUUCCAAACUCAUGUAAAAUUUAAAUUAAUAUCAAUAACUCCAAGUAUUAUUUUUAUAAAGUUUAUUAAUAAUCACUCGAAGUAGAAAAAAAAUUUAAAAGCUUAGAAGUAUAAAGCCUAAUCUAAUCUAACUGAUCACUGCCUGACUCUCAGCCAAGCUCCUCAGCCACAUUCCAGGAAACAGAGAGAGGGUGGUGCCACACCAAAACUUUUAUCCUUCCCUCCCAUACACAUGCCUGCAUGUAGUGUAAGCACACAAAUGAGAGGCUAGGUAAGAAGAGCGGGGUUGGAUCAACUGUGGUGAGACAAUUCUAACUACAAAAUCCCCCCCAUGAUUCUUUGAGAGACAAGCAUAUUGAAAUCUUCCAGAUUUACAUGCCUAGUCUCCCCAAAGAAUCAUUUCCCAUAAUCCAGCUUAUAUCUCUAAAAAUCUCUUACAAGAGGUACAUACAAUAUUGCACUAUCUAAAGGUAAAUUACAAUAAUUCAGGGAUAAGAGGGAGAUAAAAAAGAAAGAGAGCAAAACCAUUGAUUGCUAGGUUCAUUGACAAAAAGCCAAUUAGGGCUUUGUCAAAAGUUUACAUUCACAGUGUCAGUUUUAUGGUUGGACUGAAUAUAUGUAAUUAGUCACCAAGAAUUUAAUUACUAAAUCCCAAAAAUGAAUUACUAAGCCUUUACACUUACCUUGUGUCAGUUCAAUCAGCAGAUUCUUUAUCAGCCUCAACUCCAGCAGGCUCCACUCCAAAUGUGUCUCUUUCAAACUCUAAGUGUCCCUCUUCACUCCAAUUGAUUGUGUGUUUCUAUUUCCACUUUUAAAGAACUUUUUCUCUUAUGUCACCUCCCCUAAAUUUUUAUGUCUACCAAUCACAGUCAAUGCUCCACUCCAGGACUGCACACUCUUUCACACAUGGGUCACAGACCUCCCACUCAAUGUAUGAAAUGGGUGUUCAUACCUUUUUGUGGUUAAAAUCCAAAAUGGGUAGAUCUCCAUAUUCAACUUUGUAACCGUGAAAAUGUGGUUUGCCAAGACUGUGAAUUGCCAAGACUGUAAAGGUUUUGGCCAAACUGUAAAGAUAAUUUUAGUGUCUUGAUUUAAAUCUGAAAUUAAGUGGUCGCCAUAGGAAAAUUCCCAAAUAUGAAAAUACCCAAGUCAGCUGAGUUUUAUGGAGAUUUUAAUUAAUACAAAUGAAGGAAUUAAGGGAAGGAGAGAGAGAGAGAGAUAAAAGAGAAAAUAGUAGAAAGGGCCUAGGCCAAAUGGCCUAGGCCUGGGCCUAAGGGAGAGCGAGUCAGUCUUUAUCACUCACCACAAGAUCAUAUUCAAGCAAGCUUCAAACCUCCGAACUCCAACUCUAACUAACUUCCAAUCCCAAAACUCCUCCAACUCCAACUACUAACUCCAACCAACUCAAAUUCAAUAAGUACCUUCCUUUUAAAGAAAUUUUCUCUUAUGUCACUUCCCCUAAAUUUUCACAUCUACCAAUCACAGUAGACGCUUUUUCCCAGGACUGCCCAUUCUUAGUUCUCAUCUUCUUUUGUUCUCACCUUCUCUGGUUAGAUUAAGUCUACUGAGUACUUCACACCUCUUUUGUUAAGCUUGCCUUUUGUAAGUUGCUUGACUUUUAGGUACUAAUUUAACCUUUAUAGGUAUUUAGCACCUUUUUGUAUUAGAUCUAAAAAUAGACCUAGCUUAAGGUUCUAACUUUACUAUAAGAUAUGAGUUAGGGACAUUUCAUUGUUCAGUCAGGAGUUUUCAACUUUGUCUUCCCCUAAGGCACUGUCUGAGUAGGGUGGAGUAAUUUUAAAAGUUCUCAAUACAUUCCUGACCAAUUACCUCCAUUGUUAAAAAUGGUGAAUAGCUUAAUCAAAUCUUCUGAAGUAGAGUCUGAGCAGUUUUAAGAUUCACAACUUUAAGUACUAUGCUUACAUUUUUGGGGGUUGAAAUCUAAAAAUAGACAGGGGAUUAUAAUUUAAUCUUCACAAUCAAGGAAGAGCUAAGUACCUUCAUUGUUACAAUCAGGGGAGAGCCAAAUCCAAUCUUUACAACAGUAAAUGUGUUCAACCCCACUCAAUUAAAUUCACUACAUCCCAAAGUUCAAUCUGGAUCUUUUGAUGCAGUGUGUGAUUUCUGCAGGCAUCUCCAUGGUGUCUUCUCCAAAAAGUUCACUUUCUCAAUUCAGGGAGUUAGUGAGCUUCGUUUGCUGAAAUUACUCACAAGCAAAAAGCAAAAAAACAAAAAAACCCCUUUAAAUCUUGAAUUUACAAAAAUUAUACACUCUGUAAAAUUAGAAUUUUGCUCUCCAGGACUUGCUCUCUCAGCAUUCCAGUUACAUAUCUAACAUGAAAUACCAACAUAGGGAAGAUAUAAGCUUUGUGUAGCUCCAUGUUCUCUCUUCUCCCAGAAAUGUGACUGUGAAGGUAGGGUAAGGUGAGAGGUAGAGGAAUUUUACUCAGGUGUUUUUUACUCAGGUUUUACUUUUGUUCUUUUUUAUUCUACUUCAAGUGUUUAUUAAUAAACUUUACAAAAUAUAA